rnacentral:rRNA from 1 species
AUUGAACGCUGGCGGCAUGCCUUACACAUGCAAGUCGAACGGCAGCACGGGUGCUUGCACCUGGUGGCGAGUGGCGAACGGGUGAGUAAUACAUCGGAACAUGUCCUGUAGUGGGGGAUAGCCCGGCGAAAGCCGGAUUAAUACCGCAUACGAUCCACGGAUGAAAGCGGGGGACCUUCGGGCCUCGCGCUAUAGGGUUGGCCGAUGGCUGAUUAGCUAGUUGGUGGGGUAAAGGCCUACCAAGGCGACGAUCAGUAGCUGGUCUGUGGGGACGACCAGCCACACUGGGACUGAGACACGGCCAGACUCCUACGGGAGGCAGCAGUGGGGAAUUUUGGACAAUGGGCGAAAGCCUGAUCCAGCAAUGCCGCGUGUGUGAAGAAGGCCUUCGGGUUGUAAAGCACUUUUGUCCGGAAAGAAAUCCUUGGCUCUAAUACAGUCGGGGGAUGACGGUACCGGAAGAAUAAGCACCGGCUAACUACGUG